GUCUUCAUCAUCAUCAUCAUCAGCAGCAGAGCCGACACACGUAUCAGUCCUACAUGGAGUCCAGCUGGAUGCCUCAUUUCCUGGCGGCCGUCUCUCCUCUGGUCAGCCUCGAAGACGAUCUGAUUGGUCAGCACAGGAGACGUGGGCGGGGCAGAAUGAGGAACGUGCCUGAGCUCUCAGAGGACCUUCAGGGAAACGACUACGAGGUGAGGAAGAGGAGGACGUUCUUCAUUUUGGUUUCCGUUCCUGAAGUUAUUCAGUUUUCAGCCUCGAACACAUUAAAAUUCUGCUUUCACA